UAAGUUGUGGUUUUUAAGAGGAAAAAGUAGCAUGACGAUGAAUUGAUUUGUUGGGAAAGCAACAAUGAUAUCGUGGUGUCUCUCUCCAGGAAGCUAAUGCAGAACAGUUUUAUUGAUUCAAAUGCCUAAAACAUGCUUCUGAUCAGCAAAAAUGCAAUUGUGGAGGAAUUUAUUUAUGAAAACUAAGAGAACAAAUUGCACAGUAGGUGGCGAAAGAAAUUACCCAUUCUCCUUUAUCCAUAACUUGAACGGUAAUUAUGUCGUCUGCAUCUCAUUUUUUAGUGUUCUUUUCUUAUAAUUGCUAGUAUGUUUAUUCAAUUGUUAACUUUUAUGCAAAUAUAUGGAAUGUAGGUUUACUUUGUCAUCUAUAUAUUAAAAUUUAAUCUUGUAAAAUGUUGUGAAAAAGAAGCAUGAAUUUCUAGACAUGAAGAAUCUGUUUGUAUAUUUUGUGAUA